rnacentral:rRNA from 1 species
CCUACGGGGAGCAGCAGUGGGGAAUAUUGCGCAAUGGCCGGAAGGCUGAACCAGCCAAGCCGCGUGAAGGACGAAGGUGCCAAGCAUUGUAAACUUCUUUUGUCAAGGGACAAACUCAGGCUCGAGAGCCUGACCGAGGGUACUUGAAGAAAAAGCAUCGGCUAACUCCGUGCCAGCAGCCGCGGUAAUACGGAGGAUGCGAGCGUUAUCCGGAUUUAUUGGGUUUAAAGGGUGCGUAGGCGGGCUGUUAAGUCAGCGGUAAAAGCCCGGGGCACAACCCCGGCGAGCCGUUGGAACUGGCUGUCUUGGUAUGUCAGGGGGUAUGCGGAAUGCGCGGUGAAGCGGUGAAAGGCU